AGAGUUUGAUCAUGGCUCAGGACGAACGCUGGCGGCAUGCUUAACACAUGCAAGUCGAGGGGCCCUUCGGGGUCACUGGCGCACGGGUGAGUAACACGUAGGUCAUCUACCCCUAUCACAGACAUAACUCCGGGAAACCGGUGCUAAUAUCUGAUGAGGUCGCGAGAUCAAAGCUUCGGCGGAUAGGGAUGAGCCUGCGGCUGAUUAGCUAGUUGGUGAGGUAAUGGCUCACCAAGGCAACGAUCAGUAGCUGGUCUGAGAGGACGAACAGCCACACUGGAACUGAGACACGGUCCAGACUCCUACGGGAGGCAGCAGUGAGGAAUAUUGGUCAAUGGGAGCAAUCCUGAACCAGCAAUGCCGCGUGUGGGAUGACAGGGCUCAGCCUUGUAAACCACUGUCGGACGGGACGAGAAGGCGCCUCGGGCGCCCGGGACGGUACCGUCAAAGGAAGGGUCGGCUAACUACGUGCCAGCAGCCGCGGUAAUACGUAGGACCCAAGCGUUGUCCGGAUUUACUGGGUAUAAAGGGUGCGCAGGCGGUCGAGUGCGUCAGAGGUGAAAUAUCCGGGCUUAACCCGGAGGGUGCCUUUGAUACGGCUUGACUUGAGUCCGAGAGAGGGUGAUGGAAUUCCUGGUGUAGCGGUGAAAUGCGUAGAUAUCAGGAGGAACACCGGUGGCGAAGGC
rnacentral:rRNA from 1 species